rnacentral:ncRNA from 1 species
CUUAUCCAGAGCGGCUGAGGGACUGGCCCGAUGAAGCCCGGCAACCGGCGGCGUGCAAGCGCCGCAAGGUGCUAAUUCCAGCAGCGCGAAAGCGCUGGCAGAUAAGG